UACACGUGGGAACGUGCCCUUUGGUUCGGAACAACACAGGCAAACUUGUGCUAAUACCGGAUGAGCCCUUACGGGGAAAGAUUAUCGCCGAGGGAUCGGCCCGCGUCUGAUUAGCUUGUUGGUGAGGUAACGGCUCACCAAGGCGACGAUCAGUAGCUGGUCUGAGAGGAUGAUCAGCCUCACUGGGACUGAGACACGGCCCAGACUCCUGCGGGAGGCAGCAGUAGGGAAUAUUGGACAAUGGGCGCAAGCCUGAUCCAGCCAUGCCGCGUGAGUGAUGAAGGCCUUAGGGUUGUAAAGCUCUUUCGGCGGGGAAGAUAAUGACGGUACCCGCAGAAGAAGCCCCGGCUAACUUCGUGCCAGCAGCCGCGGUAAUACGAAGGGGGCUAGCGUUGCUCGGAAUCACUGGGCGUAAAGCGCACGUAGGCGGUCUUUUAAGUCAGGGGUGAAAUCCUGGAGCUCAACUCCAGAACUGCCUUUGAUACUGGGAGACUUGAGUCCGGGAGAGGUGAGUGGAACUGCGAGUG
rnacentral:rRNA from 1 species